GAUGAACGCUGGCGGCGUGCCUAAUACAUGCAAGUCGAGCGAACAGACGAGGAGCUUGCUCCUCUGACGUUAGCGGCGGACGGGUGAGUAACACGUGGAUAACCUACCUAUAAGACUGGGAUAACUUCGGGAAACCGGAGCUAAUACCGGAUAAUAUAUUGAACCGCAUGGUUCAAUAGUGAAAGACGGUUUUGCUGUCACUUAUAGAUGGAUCCGCGCCGCAUUAGCUAGUUGGUAAGGUAACGGCUUACCAAGGCAACGAUGCGUAGCCGACCUGAGAGGGUGGUGCGGCCAAACGGGACCGAGAACCGGGUCCGACUCCCAAGGGGAGGAGCAGUAGGGAAUCCUCCGGAAAGGGCGGAAGGCUGGAGGGGCAAACCCGGGGGGGUGAAGAAGGUUCUCGGAUUCUAAAACCCUUUUUUUAGGGAAAAAAAAAAUGUUAAAGAAAUAGUCCAGGUUUGAAGGUUCCCAAUAAAAAAGGCACCGGAAAAUUCGGG
rnacentral:rRNA from 1 species